rnacentral:rRNA from 1 species
GACGAACGCUGGCGGCGUGCUUAACACAUGCAAGUCGUACGGUAAGGCCCUUUCGGGGGUACACGAGUGGCGAACGGUUGCGUAACACGUGAGUAACCUGCCCACAACUUUGGGAUAACGCUAGGAAACUGGUGCUAAUACUGGAUAUGUGCUCCUGCUGCAUGGUGGGGGUUGGAAAGCUCCGGCGGUUGUGGAUGGACUCGCGGCCUAUCAGCUUGUUGGUGGGGUAGUGGCCUACCAAGGCGGCGACGGGUAGCCGGCCUGAGAGGGUGACCGGCCACAUUGGGACUGAGAUACGGCCCAGACUCCUACGGGAGGCAGCAGUGGGGAAGAUUGCACAAGGGGCGCAAGCCUGAUGCAGAAACGCCGCGUGCGGGAUGACGGCCUUCGGGUUGUAAACCGCUUUCAGCAGGGACGAAGCUUUUUGUGACGGUACCUGCAGAAGAAGCACCGGCUAACUACGUG